AUGUGUCUGAGAAGGGUUUACAGUCAUGGGGGACACACUACUGGAGCCUGGGAGGUCCAUGCCUGUGCAGCCCACCACAGAGCAGAGAGCUCACUGCAUGCUGCCACUUCUGGAACAAAAGAGAGCUCUCCCAGCUCUGGCGCCAGAUGCCUCUCUAUUUACUCUUCUGACGAUCAAUAUAAUGACAUAAACGGGAUCACAUCGCUCCUCGACUCAAAGUCCUCCAGUGACAUCUCAUUUCUGAAUAAAAGCCACAGGUAUUUUUAUGGCCUGCAUGACAUUAUGUGCACUUUCUCCUGAUGCUGCCUUAUUAUCUUCCCAUUGUUCUUAGCUAUCCAGUAAUCUUUUCACUUUGUUCCGUGAAGUGAAGUCAGUCCCCAACUCAGUACCACGUAUUGCAAUUACCUCCAUCUGGAGUAAUUUCUCUAGGGUAUCCGUGUGGAGUAUUUUCCUAUUUUAUUAAAAAAUAUGCUCAUGUGUCUUGUAACAGAAAGGCCAUUUCAUUCUUAACAAGUUU
rnacentral:lncRNA from 1 species